rnacentral:lncRNA from 1 species
CCUGUGGUUGGAAUUAUUUGGUCGAGAUCAUGUUGCUAAAGAAAUCUUUAGAUCUCAUGAAUGCAUAAGAACAUCAAGUUCCUUCCAGAAUAAAGAUCACAGAAGGACUUUGUGCAAAAACAAGUACAGUCCUACUGUAGCAGCAGUAUUUUACUUGACAUGACCAGUGCAGAAGAGUACUAAGAGUCCCAGUGAUGGAGCCACAGUUUUUCUGAAUCCGGACUUGUUUGGAUGUUUUGAUAGAGAAAAUGAAAUUGUCACAUGGUUGCUGAUUACAUAGUGAGUGAAUUGUUUCUAACUACGUGUGCUCGGGGAGAUAGACUCAGCAGCUGGGAAAUCCCCAGCAUGUGACUGGUACAGCUGUGUCUGAUAGCCUGAUUAAGCCUUACUGCGGACCUGAGGAUUUCACCGGGUUGCAUCUGUACCUGUGGGUGUCUGCCUGUUGCAGCAUUCAAGAAACUGCCAAAUGUCUUUCAGUUUGCAUCAGCUUUUGAGUGCCUGAGCUCCUUGAGCUGUGCUAAUCUUUUGCUGAUAAAGCAAUGAGGAAAUAGAGUCCCAAGUGCAGGGAGGAAGAAUUUUUCUCUUCAAGGGUGACUAUGGUAUCUUGAAGUCAUCUGCAUAGGUGCCAUGCUGCUAAAGGGCAUAAAUAAAUGCUUAGGAAAAGCAGAAGCUGGGACUUCUGCUUUUCUUCAGGCUAUUUUUAUGCUUAUCCAUCUGCAUCUUGUUCCUGUGUUUUCUCCCCCUGUGGCAUCUUGUCAGCAAUCGGGAUGGGGGGGUUAUUUUCCUCAAUACACUUCAGCCUGUGCCCAUACCAGCAGUUUUCCUGGCACAAAUAAGGCUGUGGUGUGAGGUGGGUAUAAGCCAGAGGGAACAAAGUGUUAAAGCCAGUACUGGUGCUGAAAGAGGUGUCUGUAAAAACACACCUUGUUUUGGUGCAGAGGAGCAGGAAACAGGGUGUAACUGACUUCACCAGGCGAUGUGGUUGCAUGUGGUCGCUUUUGCUCAGAGCAGAGGCCCAGAUCUGAGUGCCUGUGGACCUUCAUUUGGAUCCUUUUCUUUCUGUAGUGGGUUCAACAGAAAUUUCACUGCCUCGGAACUCUAGAAGAGUGUUCUGUGCUAGACCAAAAUGGACGUAAAUGAAUUCAUUGAUAGGAGAAGGAAAAAAAAAUAAAUUCUGUAUAGUACUGUUGUUGUUCUUUUGU